rnacentral:rRNA from 1 species
UUGUCUUUUAAAUAAAGACCAGUAUGAAUGGCAAGACGAAAGUUCAACUGUCUCCCUAAAUUAAUCAAUGAAAUUGAUCUUCCCGUGCAGAAGCGGGAAUAAAAUUAUAAGACGAGAAGACCCUAUGGAGCUUUAAAUAUAUGAUCAACUGUGUAAUAUAAAAUUCAACAGAUUAAAUAUUAAAUAAAACAUUAUGAUCAAAAUUUUAGGUUGGGGCGACCACGGAGAAAAACAAAACCUCCGAGAUGAAAAGAGUAUCUUAAUUUAUGAACUACAGUUCUAAUAAAUAAAAUAUUUAACAUAAUUGAUCCAAUAUGUUGAUCAACGAACUAAGUUACCCUAGGGAUAACAGCGCAAUCCUUUCCAAGAGUCCCUAUCGACGAAUGGGUUUACGACCUCGAUGUUGGAUCAGGACACCCCAAUGGUGCAGCCGCUAUUAAAGGUUCGUUUGUUCAACGAUUAAAGU